AGACACCCUUAUGGGGCAAGACUUGCUUCAGUGGGGAUUGGUGGGCUAUGGUGCUCACUGAGUCUGCCCCCUGAGUGUGUCACU
rnacentral:pre_miRNA from 1 species